rnacentral:rRNA from 1 species
GACGAACGCUGGCGGCGUGCCUAAUACAUGCAAGUAGAACGCACAGUUUAUACCGUAGCUUGCUACACCAUACACUGUGAGUUGCGAACGGGUGAGUAACGCGUAGGUAACCUGCCUGGUAGCGGGGGAUAACUAUUGGAAACGAUAGCUAAUACCGCAUAAUAUUAAUUAUUGCAUGAUAAUUGAUUGAACGAUGCAAUUGCAUCACUACCAGAUGGACCUGCGUUGUAUUAGCUAGUAGGUGAGGUAACGGCUCACCUAGGCGACGAUACAUAGCCGACCUGGGAGGGUGAUCGGCCAAACUGGGACUGAGACACGGCCCAGACUCCUACGGGAGGCAGCAGUAGGGAAUCUUCGGCAAUGGACGAAAGUCUGACCGAGCAACGCCGCGUGAGUGAAGAAGGUUUUCGGAUCGUAAAGCUCUGUUGUAAGAGAAGAACGGGUGUGAGAGUGGAAAGUUCACACUGUGACGGUAUCUUACCAGAAAGGGACGGCUAACUACGUG